rnacentral:rRNA from 1 species
AUUGAACGCUGGCGGCAGGCUUAACACAUGCAAGUCGAGCGGGGGAAGGUAGCUUGCUACCGGACCUAGCGGCGGACGGGUGAGUAAUGCUUAGGAAUCUGCCUAUUAGUGGGGGACAACAUCUCGAAAGGGAUGCUAAUACCGCAUACGUCCUACGGGAGAAAGCAGGGGAUCUUCGGACCUUGCGCUAAUAGAUGAGCCUAAGUCGGAUUAGCUAGUUGGUGGGGUAAAGGCCUACCAAGGCGACGAUCUGUAGCGGGUCUGAGAGGAUGAUCCGCCACACUGGGACUGAGACACGGCCCAGACUCCUACGGGAGGCAGCAGUGGGGAAUAUUGGACAAUGGGGGGAACCCUGAUCCAGCCAUGCCGCGUGUGUGGAGAAGGCCUUAUGGUUGUAAAGCACUUUAAGCGAGGAGGAGGCUACUUUAGUUAAUACCUAGAGAUAGUGGACGUUACUCGCAGAAUAAGCACUGGCUAACUCUGUGCCAGCAGCCGCCGAA